rnacentral:lncRNA from 1 species
UCUGCCUCCCAAGUGCUGGGAUUAAAGGCGUGAGCCACCACGCCCGGCUAAAUCUUUAGUUUCGAGUUACUGAAUGUGGUAUUUCUUUCUACCCUUUUUUGACAUUUUACAAUUAAUUUUUUUUAAUUCAGGUAAUGCUUAUCUAGCCUCUUUUGCCAGUUUAAAGUUAAAUUUGAAUUUUAAACCCCCCAGUAAAUCGAGCCAUACAUUUUGGAAUGGAAAGGGCACUGGAGAUCAUUUGAAUUCCAGAGAGUGUCUUGCCCUGAUUGCACAAUUGUCAAUAUGAUAACAGAGUCAGAAAUGAGAUUUCCUAAUUUCCUAAGAAAGCUGUCUGACUCCUUUCCCUAAAGAAACUAGCCUGGAUAGCUGUCCACAGCCUGGAGACAGUGGACACUAAUUUCUAGUCUUUUUUUUUUUUUUUUUGAAGCAUUUGUAGUCAAAACACUUGUAGCUGUGUUUGCCUUGCCAUGGCGUCCAAGAGCUGUGAAUUCCUGUUUUGGCACUGGGAGGCGGUGUUUUACAGAACAAUGAGCCUGGUCUUGCUGCAGGUUCUGCCUGCCUAGCUGUGUGGUCUUGCCUGAGUUACUUUGUUUUCCAGGUCUUUCAGAAGUGUUGUUAGUAUUUAUUGAGAUGAAAAAUAGCUACCAAGUAUUGAACUUGCUCUAUGGCACAGAUGUGGUUCUAAACACUUAACCUAUCUCAGGGUAAUCAGGAGAUAUUGUUAUUUUUCUCCAUCUUAAAGAUGAAGAAACUGAGACCCCAGGAAAAUUAAGUAAACCAUUCAGUUUUUAAAAAUGCUCCUAAAUUACUAAAUUUGGGAUUUAGUGGGUCUACAUGACUGUUAGAGCUGAAAAAGGAAUCUGACAUCUGAGUCCCUCAGCACAGUGCCUGCCAUGUGCUAGAUAUACAGUGUAUAUCAGGUGAGUUUGAGGUGACAUGAUGAGGCUUCCUAUAGAUUUAAUUCCAGCUCCAAUCUAUUCAAUCCAAGAGUGAAUUCCUAGAUUCCCUUUAUCCUGCCUUAUGCUCUUGGCCUAAUGCUUUCAGCUCUUCGCAUCCUGCCCUCUUAUAUGAACCAAACCACAAAGCUUGGCACUGUCCUUGGUCCCUGUCUUUCCUUCACAUCCACGUACCGUCAUCCAGUUCUGCUGCCUCUAUGUUCAGAUAGAAUCUGACUACCUCUCACAAGCUCUACACUGUGAUACAAAGCCAGCCAGCUCCACUUGUGAUGCAGGAUAGUUCCAGAGUCUUCCUACUAGCAUCCUUACUAGUCUACUUGCCUUACCCUGACUUGGAACAGUUGGAUCACCUCACUCAAAGUCCUCUAGUGGCUCCCAUGUUACUGUGAGAAGAAGCCAAUAUGCACUCCUUUCCCUGACCUUUGGGCCUCAUCUCCUGACUUGCUUCCUUGUUCACUUCUUCCCUGGCCUCCUUGCCUUUCCUGGAGCAACAGCACAGCCUGGAUUCUAGACUUUUGCAUUUUGCCUUCCCUCUUGUCUUGAUAGCUUUUCUCUUACACACCAUGGUUUGCUCUCAGUCCUCAUGUGGAUCUUAGCUUAAAUAUUAGCUUCAUGCUAAGGCUUUUCCUUGCCUGUCGUUAAAAAUUGUGCAACUCUUCCCCCAGCCCUGCCAGUUCCUAAUCUCUUACUCUGCUUUAUUGAUACACGACACUUAAUAUCCGCCUAGUACACUAUAUAAUUUGCUUAUUUGCUUGCUAGUUACCCAGCUUCAUUGACUGUAAAAUGAGUGAAGAAUAUUCACAGUAGUAGGGUUUUCUUUUCUUUUCUUUUCCUUCCUUCCUUCCUUCCUUCCUUCCUUCCUUCCUUCUUCCUUUUCUUCUUAGACUUGGCCUUGCUGUGUUGCCUGGGCUGGUCUUAACCCUUGUCCUCAAAGUUACCCUCUUCCUACCCUGGUCUACUGAAUAGCUGAGUCUAUAGGCAAACCCCACUGUACCCAGAUCCUAAGGGGAUAUUUUGAAGAUUAAACAGAGCUUUUAGAACAGGGUCCAACAUGUAAAGUAUUAUGUUUGUGUUAGCUAUUGUUAUUUUCUUAUUAUUAGGCAACAUGUUGGGAGACAUAUAAAGUUACCCUG